ensembl:snoRNA
UAUCCCCUUUUCACUUUGCCAGUUGGACUUAUGUCUUUGUUGGUCACUCAAGUGGGGCCAAGGAAAUAUCCUUUUAAAAUGCAGGCAAACUGGUGUCUUGUAUCCUGUCAAAGGAAACAAAU